rnacentral:rRNA from 1 species
GCAAGUCUGGUGCCAGCAGCCGCGGUAAUUCCAGCUCCAAUAGCGUAUAUUAAAGUUGUUGCAGUUAAAAAGCUCGUAGUUGAACCUUGGGCCUGGCUGGCCGGUCCGCCUCACCGCGUGUACUUGUCCGGCCGGGCCUUUCCUUCUGGAGAACCUCAUGCCCUUCACUGGGUGUGUUGGGGAACCAGGACUUUUACUUUGAAAAAAUUAGAGUGUUCAAAGCAGGCCUUUGCUCGAAUACGUUAGCAUGGAAUAAUAGAAUAGGACGUGCGGUUCUAUUUUGUUGGUUUCUAGAGUCGCCGUAAUGAUUAAUAGGGAUAGUUGGGGGCAUUGGUAUUGAGUCGCUAGAGGUGAAAUUCUUGGAUUGACUCAAGACCGACUAUUGCGAAAGCAUUUGCCAA